CAAGAGUAUAUAUUGUCGAUUUCCUUCCCCAAAUUCGUCAUUCGUAUACAGAAAUAUACUAAAAGCUGUACCGUUUCCUGUUCGAAGCAAAACUGACGGCGAAAUGAAUAAUGGCGCAAGGUCGCACAGUCAUCUAGCUAGAAGGGAGCCUGAACUUUCUUUUAACUUUCCCAUUUUCAGUUUUUGGAACUAAUAAAUGCCCCAAUGUACGUAAAAGAAAAGCGGUAAUGGAGCUCAGAAACACUUAAAAUUCAAGACUGGUUCCCCCCUGAUUUCAAAUGCAGUGCAAAUGAUCUGAUAGAUGCC